GACGAGCGCUGGCGGCGUGCUUAACACAUGCAAGUCGAACGGAAAGGCCCUGCUUUUGUGGGGUGCUCGAGUGGCGAACGGGUGAGUAACACGUGAGUAACCUGCCCUUGACUUUGGGAUAACUUCAGGAAACUGGGGCUAAUACCGGAUAGGAGCUCCUGCUGCAUGGUGGGGGUUGGAAAGUUUCGGCGGUUGGGGAUGGACUCGCGGCUUAUCAGCUUGUUGGUGGGGUAGUGGCUUACCAAGGCUUUGACGGGUAGCCGGCCUGAGAGGGUGACCGGCCACAUUGGGACUGUGAUACGGCCCAGACUCCUACGGGAGGCAGCAGUGGGGAAUAUUGCACAAUGGGCGGAAGCCUGAUGCAGCAACGCCGCGUGCGGGAUGACGGCCUUCGGGUUGUAAACCGCUUUCGCCUGUGACGAAGCGUGAGUGACGGUAAUGGGUAAAGAAGCACCGGCUAACUACGUG
rnacentral:rRNA from 1 species